CUCUCUCACUGCUCGUUCGUCUUCAGUCGUUCGUCUGAAUCGUCUCUGGGUGACUGGGGUUCUCCUUCGACCGUCUCUCUCUGUCAGCCGUUGUGAUCUGGUUGUGGAGCUCAUGAGAGUGGAAGAAUCUUGAUGGAUUUACUGGUCCUUUGUUAGAUGGGAGGAGUCAACCAUAACUAGGGUAGUUGGUUUAGGUGGAAGCAUAGGUAAUUGUUCUUCAUUCGGUUUCUUUGUUUGUUAUUCUGUAACCAUAAAAAUUGCUCGAUUCUUCAGGAAUUCAGUGACUUAAAAUAUGGUGAUCGUAUCCUCGACUAAGAAUGUUUGAGCAGUUGAUUGGGUUUGCAUUCAAUUUUUGUUGGGAAGUGCCUUAGUAUGUUCCAUGGGUCAAUGAAUGCUGCCUCUGCAGUAAACAGGGUUCUCCGCAACAAAAUCCACAAGCCCAGAACCCUACAGUCCAACGCUGAAGAGCUAACCAACUCAAUCCUCGCAAACCUCAACUCCGGCCACCUCCGAAAAGCAGUCUCUAUCCUUUUCAAUUCCCCUGUACCCUUCUCUUUCUCUCUCUACGCCCAUCUCUUCCAGCUUUGUACGGCUAGACAAGCAAUUGUCGAGGCUCGAAAGGUCGAAUCCCACUUGGUCUCAUUUUGUCCAAAUCCACCAUUGUUUUUACUGAACCGGGCAAUCGAGACCUAUGGUAGAUGUGGGUGCUUGCGUGAUGCACGGGAGCUGUUUGACGAAAUGCCUCGGAGGGAUGGGGGUUCUUGGAAUGCAAUGAUUACGGCUUAUACACAAUGUGGCUGUCCUGAGAAAGCAUUGGGUAUGUUCUUGCGCAUGAAUAGGUUAGGAGUUUCCGCAAAUGAGGUUACAUUUGCUAGUGCUCUUGGGUCAUGCGCUGCACUCUUGGCUAUUGUUUUAUCGAGGCAAAUACACGGGAUGAUUGUGAAAUGUGGGUUUACAGGGAAUGUCAUUUUAGAGAGCUCUCUUGUGGAUGUGUAUGGGAAAUGCCGGGUUAUGAGUGAUGCAAGGAAGAUGUUCGAUGAGAUUCAAAACCCAAAUGCCAUAUCCUGGAAUGUGAUCGUCAGGCGGUAUCUUGAGAUGGGUCAAGAAAGAGAGGCCGUGUUUAUGUUUUCAGAGAUGAUACGAGUUCAUGUUAAGCCAUUACAUUUUACUGUGUCUAAUUCUCUCAUUGCUUGUUCUAGAAUUGCUGCCAUCCUUGAGGGGAUCCAAAUUCAUGGGCUUGUAAUUAAGACUAACAUUGAAGAGGAUGAGAUGGUUAUAAGCUCUCUCAUUCAUAUGUAUGUGAAAUGCGGAGAGUUAGAGAGUGCUUGCAAAAUAUUUGACCUGCCCAGUUCUAAGAAUAUGAUUAAUUGGACUUGUAUGGUAUCAGGGUAUUCGCUGAAUGGGAGAACUCAAAAAGCAAGGGAGCUCUUUAAUGAGAUGCCAGAGCGGAGUGUGAUCUCGUGGAAUACAAUGUUGUCAGGGUACGCACGUUCCUUCCAAUGGGAUGAGGCCUUGGACUUUGUUUUUGUAAUGCUGAAGGAAUCUAAGGACAUUGACUAUGUCACUCUUGGUUUAAUUCUAAAUGUCUGUGCUGGGCUUUCCGAUGUUGAACUUGGGAAACAGGUUCAUGGGUUUAUCUAUAGACAUGGUUUCUAUUCCAAUCUUUUUGUUGGCAAUGCCCUUCUUGACAUGUAUGGUAAAUGUGGAAAUGUAAAAAGUGCUAGAGUUUGGUUCUACGAAAUGAGUCAUUGGCGAGAUAGAGUUUCUUGGAAUGCUCUUUUGACUAGCUAUUCUCAUCAUGGUUUGAGUGAAGUAGCAAUGACCAUGUUCUGGGAGAUGCAAGGGGAGACAAAGGCUAGUAAAUUUACUUUUGGGACCCUUUUGUCCACUUGUGCAAAUACUUUUGCACUUGAGCCAGGAAGACAAAUCCAUGGGUUCAUGAUUAGAAAUGGUUAUGAGAUAGAUGUUGUUAUCAGGGGAGCUCUGGUUGACAUGUAUUCGAAAUGCCGUUGUCUCGAGUAUGCUUUCAAGGUUUUUGAGGAAGCAACUUGGCGAGAUGUGAUUCUUUGGAACUCCAUGGUUAUGGGAUGUUGUCACAAUAGAAGGGGUGAAGUCGCACUUGAACUGUUUGGAUUGAUGGAGAAAGAAGGCGUAGAGCCAGACCAUAUCACCUUUCAAGGGAUAUUGCUAGCUUGUGUUUCUGAGGGCCGUGUAGAGUUGGGUACACAGUAUUUCAAUUCAAUGAACACAAGAUAUUGUGUAAUUCCUCGCUUGGAGCAUUACGAGUGCAUGAUAGAACUCUACAGCAGGUAUGGAUUCAUGGAUGAGCUCGAGGAUUUUGUCAAGACAAUGCCAUUUGACCCUACUGUCCCAAUGUUAACUAGAGUGUUUGAUGCCUGUAGAGAACACAGGUACUUGAAGUUAGGGGAAUGGGCUGCCAAUAAAGUAAAUGAAACGAACCCGUCAGUUCCAUUCCGGUUUGAAUUCAUGGACAAUGGUAGAUAGAUUGGGAACUAAGGGUGCAGAUUGAGCCAGCCUAUAUUCAGAAUUCAUCUUUGCAGUCUUGGAGACAGUAGCUGUUGGAUCUGAUUUUUCAAGAUUCUAAGAGUCUCAAGAAGAAGUCUGCAGGGAGGACAGUUUUAUGUGAAGUCCAAGUAUUUGAAACCAGGCUCGGUAUGGCUAGAUGUUCAUCAAGUUUGUGCAUUUACUAUAUUCGACUACAACCUUAAGGUCCUUAACAAUGCUAGCAUAAGCCUCGACAUAGGUGUGGUGAAAUCCCCUAUAAACAGCAGCCGACGACUCCGAAGAAGCAGCCGGAGCAGGUCUUGAAAGGGCAUUUCAGAUGGCAAAGAGAGGUGAAAUCGUAGGAGGAGAUGCGGAGGGAGUAGGACUUGCACACGCACCUGAGUCGGAGGGAUUCUGCGUGGAGGAGAGUGAGGAUGUUGAAUAAGGGUUUGCGAGGGAGGUUGUUGGACAUAGAGUGAAAACUAUGAAGUGGCGACCAAUAAAGUAGUACCUUUUUCUGACAUUUGAGAGAGAGAGAGAGAGAGAGAGAGAGAGAGAGAGAGAGAGAGAGAGAGAGAGAGAGAUUUGCAAGCUCUUCGAAUCUGUCGGAGGACGAUAAGCCAGUGAUUUUUAGGGUUAGGCACAAAGCUUACCAGGUUCAAUUCUCAGAUAAAUUGAUUAUCAAACCAACUCUGCGACACCUUCUCAGUUGCCAAACAGUAAGGCUUCAGAAUCCGCAUAAUGCUAUUGUCUCACAGUUUUGUCUCCUUUCACUUUUAUCAUUCGGUUUUAAGCUUCAGAACUAAAAACUCGAAUCAAAUCUGUUAAAUUCUUAAUCUUACAGCUUCUAUGGUGUUACUCGCCCAGCCUUGUCUCUUUAUUGUGAAUUUCAUGUCUUCGUUGCUUUGAUGUUUCAGAAUCAAAUCUUGAUCCUCUCUCAAAUUGUUUAACGUGUUUUGUCCCUCUUCUCAUGACCCUAUUUGGUCGAUGUCACUUCCAGAUUUCUUUGUUGUUUUUAGAAUUUGAUUCUUUUGAUGGUUGUUAAUAAGAUUUACUGACAAUGAGAAGGGAAAAAUGAAUUUUUAAGAAGCUAGCUAUUUUUUAGAUUUCUGAAUUGAUACGUAUCAUAUGCUGUAACUAUAUUGCUCGGCUCAGCUUAUGAAUACAGAGAUAGGUUCUCGGUCCUUAAUUAACCAAGUCCGUCUAUCCUUAUAUGUUAGAGGUUGUUUUGAGAUCUUGGUAUUCUGAUGGAUUCCAUUACUUCAUCGUUUUUAGAAUAUACAGUAUGGUAUUACAAAUAGCCAUUACUUAUAUUUACUUCAGUUGGUUAUCUUAUGUGAUGAGGUGGUGUAGCAAUCGAUUUUCAUCAGUAAAUCAUACUGAAUUUGGAAGAGGCUUACUUUAAUGGAGCUUUUCCCCCUCCCUUAUAGGAUAAUUUUGUCCCGCGGUUUUAUUGAUGGUCUUUGAGAUGCCACAGAGCAAGGUUGUGAAGGGCUGUUGAGUGUAAACCAAUUUAGAACAUGGCUUCUUGUGUGAGGAAAGCAUAUGUAUUGACAGUGGCUAAGAAAGAGACGCAUUGCAUUGGCUUCCAUCCAAGUAAACAUCAAUCUAAUACACAGGCUUCCAAAAGCCAAUGGUGUGAAAGCUGCGUGAGACAAACUAGGGAUCCUUUCGAACACAUAAUCGGCUCCAUAUGCUCAAGGUAUUUGGGGGUUGUUAGUGUCUAUAUUACAUUAUCAACUGAUUUAUCACCAAUAGAUCCAACAUUCAAGGCAUCUCCUGGGAUAGAGAGAAGACACUGUGACGAUUGUUCUACAUGGCUCACUGUGAGAAGAGAACAACUACAUGAUAUCCUUGAUGGACAAACUAUGCUAGAUGAAAUCAAUAAUGAAUUACGUUUUUUUUACUGCUAUUAAUUUUGUCUGUUACAAUUUUAAGUUUGCAAUGGAGAGAUGGUAAAGUAUCUGAUGCUGUAACCUUUUUACUAGGGUGAGUUUUCUUUUCUUGAGCCCUUUUCCUAAGAGGAUGGGAGUGUUCUUUUUCAGUCAAUAAUGCGGACUUGAUCUAUGCAACAGGGUGUACAUGAAGAUCCUUUAACUUGUCUUAUCUGAUUUCUUUCUUGAGAUCA